rnacentral:lncRNA from 1 species
UUUUAUCAAAUAUAAGAAGUAUAUAGAUCAAAAAAGGAGCAAGACAAGCUUGCAAUACAAGCUGGAAACCAACAAAGUACAGAAUAAUUACAGAAAACAUAAGCUAGAGGCCAACAAUACAGAACUUACAUAACAAAGAGGUGAGGCAGGGGAACAAUCUCCCCAGGACAAUCACCCAAAAAUCAGCAAUACAAGCUGGAAACCAGCAAAGUACAAAAUAAUUACAGAAAACAUAAGCUAGAGGCCAGCAAUACAAAACUUACAUAACAAAGAGGUGAGGCAGGGGAACAAUCUCCCCAGGACAAUCACCCAAAAAUCAGAUCAAGGGAACAGACUCCCUUUUACAAAUAGGAUUAGCAGUCGGAGUAGCAGGAGCAAUCCUCAGCUCCAGCAAUCCUAACAAACCAGCAGCAAGAAUCAUCC